rnacentral:rRNA from 1 species
UACGGGGGGAGCAAGCGUUGUUCGGAUUUACUGGGCGUAAAGGGCGCGUAGGCGGCCACCGCAAGUCGACUGUGAAAUCUCCGGGCUUAACUCGGAAAGGUCAGCCGAUACUGCGGGGCUAGAGUGCAGAAGGGGCAACUGGAAUUCUCGGUGUAGCGGUGAAAUGCGUAGAUAUCGAGAGGAACACCAGUGGCGAAGGCGAGUCUCUGGGAUGAUGCUGACGCUGAGGCGCGAAAGCCAGGGGAGCAAACAGG